AACGAACGCUGGCGGCAUGCCUAACACAUGCAAGUCGAACGAGACCUUCGGGUCUAGUGGCGCACGGGUGCGUAACGCGUGGGAACCUGCCUUUAGGUUCGGAAUAAACUCAGAGAAAUUUGAGCUAAUACCGGAUGAUGUCUUCGGACCAAAGAUUUAUCGCCUUUAGAUGGGCCCGCGUAAGAUUAGCUAGUUGGUGGGGUAAAGGCCUACCAAGGCGACGAUCUUUAGCUGGUCUGAGAGGAUGAUCAGCCACACUGGGACUGAGACACGGCCCAGACUCCUACGGGAGGCAGCAGUGGGGGAAUAUUGGGACAAUGGGCGAAAGCCUGAUCCAGCAAUGCCGCGUGAGUGAU
rnacentral:rRNA from 1 species